ACUGUUACCUGGCAGCGCCCCCUUAGGCAACUCCUGUUUUGUGUCAUGCGCAAUCUCUGACAUGAUAGCAAGCAAGAUGCACAGAACAUAGGAGCCUUCUGCGGCUACCGUGAGGGUUUUAUGUAGCACAGUGAACCUGAAACCUAGCCAAGGUUGGCUUUUAACUCCUGAACCUUUCUGCCUUUACUUCCUGGAGUGCUGGUGUUAUGAUCGUCAACCAGGACCACACCAGUUUGCAGAAACUUUCUCCAGUCCUGACCUCUUCUUUGCUCCCCAUCCAUCCAGAUGCCAGAUAGCCUGGAAUGUGACUCCCUAUCUUUCCCCUAGUUCUGCCUUCAAGCCCUUGCCCUGGACAGUAAGACCCUCACUACCCAGACAGGACACGCUCCUCUUGGGCUACCUCUUGCCCAAAGGCUUCCAGCAAAGCAAUGGGGACUUGGAAACCAGGUCUUCAGACGCUGGAAUUUGCACC